UGUUUGAGGUAUUGCCUUUCCCAGCUUUUCAAAAUGCAAAAAGGGGACACAUGCAGGAGCUCUGGCCCGCCACUCCUGCCCCAGCAGCGUGUUUGUCUAUAUCUUUCCUGAAAUGUGGCACCCAGAACCGGACACAAUACUCCAGCUGAGGCCUAAUCAGCCAGCGCGGAGUAGAGUGGGAGAAUUACUUCUUGUGUCUUGCUUACAACAUUCCUGCUAAUACAUCCCAGAAUGAUGUUUGCUUUUUUUGCAACAGCGUUACACUGUUAACUCCUAUUUAGCAGUAAGAGGUGCAAUGUGGAUUUGAAGGUGGCAUCGUUCGUGUGGUAAUGCUCAUUUGCAGUGCUCCUUCUCUUAAAUCCAGGGAAGGGGCUUAAGUGACCCUGGUGAGCAGUUAUGGCAGCUGCAAAUUUUUCAAGCCUCCCUCCUCCGUCCCGAAGGCUAUCUCAGAUAAGGCGUCGGAGAAAGAGGACAUGAGACAAGAUGUUCUUGGAAAUAAUGGAAUGCACCCGCAGUGAAAGAGCUCAUUUGAAUGAGUGGAAGGACACGGUAUCUAAGUACAGGAAAGAUGCCAGUGAACGUGAGGUCAUGAGGGAGGCUCGAGAUGAGAGGUGGCAGGCUGCAAUGCUGGGGCUGCUGCGUGAUCAAACAGACAUGCUCCGGCGUCUGGUGGAGCUUCAGGAACGGCAGCAGGAUAACAGAGUGCCGCUGUAGCCGCUGUAUAACCUCCCUCCCCCCUCACCAUGUUACAUAGCCUCCUCACCCAGACGUGUAAGAACGCGGUGAUGGGGAGGCUCCGUGCACCCUCCCACUCCACCCCAGUGGGCAGCCCAACCAAAAGGCUGUCAUUAUAUUGAUUUUUUUCAGUGGCCUUUUACUUCCCUCCUAUCCUCCUCCCAAACCUCAUCCG